ACUUUCAAAUUCAGAGAAACCCUGGAAUUAAUGAAAAGGGGCAAUCCUGAGCCAAAUCCCGUUUUUCGAAACCAAAGGUUCAGACUGUGAAUAAUGGAUAGGUGCAGAGACUCAACGGAAGCUGUNCUAACAAAUGGAUUUGGCUGCGUUAGUAGANAAAUCUUUCCAUCUAAAAUUCCGAAANGAUAAAGUGAAGUAUAAACGUAUAUAUACGUAUUGAAUACUAUAUCAAAUGAUUAAUAUCAAAUGAUUAAUGACGACUCGACUGAAUCUGUAUUUUUUAUNUGAAAACGGAAGAAUUGGUGUGGAUAGAUUCCACAUUGAAGAAAGAAUCGAAUAUUCAUUGAUCNAACGAUUCACUCCAUAGGCUGAUAGAUCUUUUCAAGAAUUGAUUAAUCGGACGAGAAUAAAGAUAGAGUCCCGUUCUACAUGUCAAUGUCGGCAACAAUGAAAUUUAUAGUAAGAGGAAAAUCCGUCGANNNNNNNNNNNNNNNNNNNNNNNNNNNNNNNNNNCCCCAAANAACAUAUCUGAUCCCCGAACUAUUUAUCCUAUCCCCUUUUCGUUAGCAGUUCAAAAUACCUUAUUCAUUUACUCUAUUCUCUUAGAAAUCGAUCGGGACAGAAAAGCCCUUUUCUUAUCACAAAUCUUGUGUUAUUUAUGAUAUACAUAUAAAUGAACAUCUUUGAGCAAGAAAUACCCAUUUGAAUGGUUUCCAAUCGAUAUAACUACUCAUACUGAAACUUACAAAGUACUCUUUUUUAAGAUCCAAGAAAUUCUAGUACCUAGAUAAAACUUUGUAAUUCCCUUUCCUUCUUUUAAUUGACAUAGCCCCCUUUUUCUCAUAAAAUGAGGAUGCUACAUUGGGACUAGUCGGGAUAGCUCAGCUGGUAGAGCAGAGGACUGA
rnacentral:misc_RNA from 1 species